rnacentral:rRNA from 1 species
GUCCUUUUGUAUAAAAUUUAAGGUCUAGCCUGCCCACUGAAAUUUUUAAUGGCCGCGGUAUUUUGACCGUGCUAAGGUAGCAUAAUCAUUAGUUUUUUAAUUGAAAGCUAGAAUGAAGGGUUGGAUGAAAAAAUAACUGUCUCUAAUUAAUUAUAAUUGAAUUUUAUUUUUAAGUUAAAAAGCUUAAAUUUAUUUAAAAGACGAGAAGACCCUAUAGAGUUUUAUAAAAAUAUUUUAUAAAAAAAUUUAAGAAUUAAAAAUUAUUUAUAUUAAUUUUAUUUGGUUGGGGUGAUUUAAAAAUUUAAAAAACUUUUUUUUAUUUACACUAUUAAUUUAUAAAUAUUUGAUCCAAUUAUUUUGAUUAUAAGAAAAAAUUACCUUAGGGAUAACAGCGUAAUUUUAUUUGAAAGUUCAAAUUGAAAAUAAGGAUUGCGA